GAUGAACGCUAGCGGCAGGCCUAAUACAUGCAAGUCGAACGGUGUAGCAAUACACAGUGGCGCACGGGUGCGUAACACGUAUGCAACCUACCUUACAUUGGGGGAUAGCCUUUCGAAAGGGAGAUUAAUACCGCAUAAGACAGUAACUAGGCAUCUAGUAGCUGUUAAAGAUUUAUCGAUGUAAGCUGGGCAUGCGUCCAAUUAGUUAGUUGGCGAGGUAAUGGCUCACCAAGACGAUGAUUGGUAGGGGAACUGAGAGGUCAAUCCCCCACACUGGCACUGAGAUACGGGCCAGACUCCUACGGGAGGCAGCAGUAGGGAAUAUUGGGCAAUGGGCGCAAGCCUGACCCAGCCAUGCCGCGUGCAGGAAGAAGGCGUUAUGCGUUGUAAACUGCUUUUAUUCAGGAAGAAACGACCCUUGCGAGGGGCAUUGACGGUACUGUAUGAAUAAGCACCGGCUAACUCCGUACCAGCCGCCGCUGUAACAC
rnacentral:rRNA from 1 species